rnacentral:rRNA from 1 species
AUUAGUAGAGAAGCGUGUGAGCCAGCUGCCAAGAAAAGCCGCUAUUGCUUCAUAAGUACCCGUACCGUAAACCGACACAGGUGGAUGAGGAGAGAAUCCUAAGGCCGGCGGGAGAAGUGUUGUUAAGGAACUCGGCAAAAUGACUCCGUAACUUCGGGAGAAGGAGUGCCACAGAGAUGUGGCCGCAGAGAAAUGGCCCAAGCAACUGUUUAGCAAAAACACAGGUCUAUGCAAAACCGAAAGGUGAGGUAUAUGGGCUGACGCCUGCCCGGUGCUGGAAGGUUAAGAGGAGAGGUUAGAGCAAUCGAAGCUUUGAAUUUAAGCCCCAGUAAACGGCGGCCGUAACUAUAACGGUCCUAAGGUAGCGAAAUUCCUUGUCGGGUAAGUUCCGACCCGCACGAAAGGCGUAAUGAUUUGGGCACUGUCUCAACAACACACCCGGUGAAAUUGAAAUACCAGUGAAGAUGCUGGUUACCUGCGCCAGGACGGAAAGACCCCAUGGAGCUUUACUCCAGUUUGAUACUGGGAUUCGGUACUGUCUGUACAGGAUAGGUGGGAGGCUAGGAAAUGGUGACGCCAGUUGCCAUGGAGCCAACCUUGGGAUACCACCCUUACAGUACUGGGUUUCUAACCUGCAGCCGUGACCCGGCUGGGGGACAAUGUCUGACGGGGAGUUUGACUGGGCGGUCGCCUCCGAAAGAGUAUCGGAGGCGCUCAAAGGUUCCCUCAGAACGGUUGGAAACCGUUCGAAGAGUGCAAAGGCAGAAGGGAGCUUGACUGCGACACCGACGGGUGGAGCAGAUACGAAAGUAGGACUUAGUGAUCCGGUGGUAUAAAGUGGGAUUGCCAUCGCUCAACGGAUAAAAGCUACCCUGGGGAUAACAGGCUUAUCACUCCCAAGAGUUCACAUCGACGGAGUGGUUUGGCACCUCGAUGUCGGCUCAUCGCAUCCUGGAGCUGUAGCAGGUUCCAAGGGUUGGGCUGUUCGCCCAUUAAAGCGGUACGCGAGCUGGGUUCAGAACGUCGUGAGACAGUUCGGUCCCUAUCCGGCGUGGGCGUAGGAUAUUUGAGAGGAGCUGUCCUUAGUACGAGAGGACCGGGAUGGACAAACCUCUGGUGUAUCUGUUGUUUUACCAAAGGCAUGGCAGAGUAGCCAAGUUUGGCAGGGAUAAACGCUGAAGGCAUCUAAGCGUGAAGCCCCCCUCAAGAUAAGAUAUCCCAUCUUCGGAGUAAGACCCCUUGAAGACUACAAGGUUGAUAGGCUUCAGGUGUAAGUGUGGUAACGCACUCAGCUGAGAAGUACUAAUAGGUCGAGGACUUAUC